AUGCUGUUUUUUUAUGCAAGCACAGAACUAUGCAAAUUCCUUCUCACCAAAGAAACUGCUGAUGGGGGCUUUCCUGGCCGGCUCCUUAUCUUUCUGCUCUUUUGCUUCUUUCUGCCUUUUCACCGUUUGACUUUUCGGGCUCUCUUCUGUGCCUCGCGUGUCCUUUUCAACCACCUCCGUUUUGGCUACGGCAGGCCCUUUCUCAUCAUCGUCAUCUGUCUUCGGCUUUGCUUCAUUUUUCUUUUCCGCCUCCUCAGCUUUCUCCUCUUUCUCAUCAGAGCUCUUUUUCUCCACCUGCUCCUCUUUUUCUACAGUUUCUUCCUCUUUGCUCUUGUUCUCCACCUCCUCCUUUUCUGUUUUAUCAGGAGCUUCUUUGUCUCCUUGUCCCUUGCUGGGAACUUGUUCUUUAACAACUGGGGCCUCGUCAUCAUCGCUGUCCAGGAUUUGACGGCAGCGUUUCACAACCUUUUUGAUGGGCGACUCUGCUUCCUGAACACCGUUCUGCACCUUCAGAGGACUCUUGACAGGCCUGGAGAUGACCACAGAAACACACUUCAGAUAUCACAAAUUUUAAAUAAAGCAUUAAAAGGGACCUAUUGGCCUUAUUUCCAUCUCAGUACUUUUAUUCUGUGCUUUUACUUGAGUAGCUUUGCAUGAUUCACAGUUCAACAUAUUAUUUAGCCCAUUAUUUAUAAAUUAUUAAUCUACAUUAACACGUCAGGGGUUUUUUGUCACAAUACAUUUUAUAUUAAAUGGUACAUGCCCUUCUCUACUGUCAUUGUAAUCCAGUGUUAGGUGGUUGCCAGGCAACCUGAGAGCAUCAUAAUAUAAUAUAUAUUGUGAUAAAUCAGACGUCACCAGCACAGAAUUAAAAUUGUGCUUUUAUAAGGUGUGGUUACUUAACACAAGCUACUGCUUGUGUAGAAAGAAUUCACAAACAUGGUAUUAUAGUUAGAGAUAAUCUAUAUGUAUAAAAUAAUCAGCAACUAAAGCUUUAAAAUUAAUAAAGACUCCCUGCUGCUGGAAUAACUGCUUCCAAGAGAGAGGGGACCAGCUGUGCGAGAGAAGCUGUGCAAACAGCUUGUUUGAUGAAGGACUUUUAUUUACAUUUUAAUGUUAAAACACUGAAAAAAACAAAACAAACAAACAAAGAAAAAUAAGUAUUCGUCAUUCAGGGUUUAUUUCAGUCAGUGUGCUUUACAGCUGAACGCUGGACAUGGCAUCACUGACCCAAACAGGUCAGCAGCUAGAAAGUGAACUAGCUUUCUAACUAUAUCUAUAUAUCUUUUUUUUUUUUGGGGGGGGGGGGGGGGGGGGCAGUAUAGCUCAUCAUCUGUCUGAAAAAGCUGUUUGAGGUCUCCCACUCCUUUUACAUUUGUCUAUUUAUUUAUUUUUAAAGGUACACUUUGCAAUGACCUUCUGCAAAGUUUAACUAAAGCUGUCACCACCAGGGGGCAGUAUUUUGCUAACUUGUGUAUUGUUUACAGAUGUGUGAAACUGUGAUACUUCUUUUUUAAGCUACACUAAUUUCAACAACGGACUUG
rnacentral:lncRNA from 1 species